rnacentral:rRNA from 1 species
GGGAAACUCACCAGGCCCGGACACCGGAAGGUUGACAGAUUGAGAGCUCUUUCUUGAUUCGGUGGGUGGUGGUGCAUGGCCGUUCUUAGUUGGUGGAGCGAUUUGUCUGGUUAAUUCCGAUAACGAACGAGACUCUAGCCUACUAACUAGGCGUACCCGGUAUCCACAUUUGUGCUACCGGCGAUUAAACUUCUUCUUAGAGGGACAGGCGUCUCCUAGACGCACGAGACUGAGCAAUAACAGGUCUGUGAUGCCCUUAGAUGUCCUGGGCCGCACGCGCGCUACACUGAAGGAAUCAGCGUGUCUUCCCUGUCCGAAAGGCCCGGGUAACCCGCUGAACCUCCUUUGUGCUAGGGAUUGGGGCUUGCAAUUGUUCCCCAUGAACGAGGAAUUCCCAGUAAGCGCGAGUCAUAAGCUCGCGUUGAUUACGUCCCUGCCCUUUGUACACACCGCCCGUCGCUACUACCGAUUGAAUGAUUUAGUGAGGUCUUCGGACUGGUGCGCGCCGAUGUUGCCGGA